UUAAGUUCAGCGGGUAUUCCUACCUGAUUCGAGGUCAACAUUCAGAAGUUGGGUGUUUUACGGCGUGGCCGCGCCGCUCUCCAGUUGCGAGGUGUUAGCUACUACGCAAUGGAAGCUGCGGCGGGACCGCCACUGUAUUUGGGGGGACGGCGUGUGCCCCACGGGGGGGCUCCGCCGAUCCCCAACGCCAGGCCCGGGGG
rnacentral:misc_RNA from 1 species